CCUACGGGAGGCAGCAGUGAAGGAAUUUUGGACAAUGGGGGGGAAACCCCUGAUCCAGCGGACGCCGGCGUGAUCGAUGAAGGCCUUCGGGUCGUAAAGAUCUUUCAGCGGGGAAUAUCAUGAAGGUACCCGCAGAAGCAGGAGCGGCUAACUACGUGCCAGCAGCCGCGGUAAUACGUAGGCUCCAAGCGUUGUUCGGAAUUACUGGGCGUAAAGCGAGUGUAGGCGGUCCGCCAAGUCGAUUGUGAAAUCUCCCGGCUCAACCGGGAGGGUGCGGUCGAUACUGGCGGACUAGAGUGCGGUAAGAGGAAGGUAGAAUUCCUGGUGUAGCGGUGGAAUGCGUAGAUAUCAGGAGGAAUGCCGGUGGUGAAGACGGCCUUCUGGCACCGCAACUGACGCUGUAGACUCGAAAGCGUGGGGAGCAAACAGGCAUUAGAUACCCUGGUAGUCCACGCCCUAAACGAUGCAUACUUGGUGUGGGCUCUUCACUGAGUCCGUGCCGGAGCUACCGCGUUAAGUAUGCCGCCUGGGGAGUACGGUCGCAGGCUGAAACUCAAAGGAAUUGACGG
rnacentral:rRNA from 1 species